rnacentral:rRNA from 1 species
AAUUUGGGGGGUUCCUAUACAUGCAAGUCGAGCGAUCUUGAGGAGCUUGCUCCUUAAGAUUAGCGGCGGAUGGGGAGAACACGUGGGCAACCUGCUUGUAAGACUGGGAUAAAAGGGGAAACCGGAGCUAAUACCGGAUAAUCCUUUUCCUCUCAUGAGGGAAAGCUGAAAGACGGUUUCGGCUGUCACUUACAGAUGGGCCCGCGGCGCAUUAGCUAGUUGGUGAGGUAACGGCUCACCAAGGCGACGAUGCGUAGCCGACCUGAGAGGGUGAUCGGCCACACUGGGACUGAGACACGGCCCAGACUCCUACGGGAGGCAGCAGUAGGGAAUCUUCCGCAAUGGACGAAAGUCUGACGGAGCAACGCCGCGUGAGCGAUGAAGGCCUUCGGGUCGUAAAGCUCUGUUGUUUUUAUUAUC